AUGGAGCACUUGUCCCCACUCCGUGCCUUGGACUCGCUCCCGGGGGGCUCAGGGACCCCGCGCAGACCAUGCAUUCCCUUCCAUUCCCAAGUCCCGUGCCCCGAAGCGACAACCGGCGGCCCCGGCACCCCCGCGGGGAGCGCCCCCAGGCCGAGCCCAGUGCGGGCCACGGUGGCCUCGGGCUCCGGGCUGUCGGGACCGCCCCGCCGCCCCGCGCUGCCGGGGGCCGCCGAGGGCCAGCAGGUGCGCGGCCGGCCGAGACGCACGGCGGAGCGCCCUCGCCCCCGGGAGCCCGCGGCGGUCGGGCAGCCCCGGGCGGGGUCGGCGGCUGGGAGCUCGGGGUCCGCCCGCACCCCCCGCGCACCCCGCACGCAGCCCCGCGCGCAGCCCGCCAAAGUGGCCGAGCCCCCCGGGGUGGGGCGGGGGGCGGCGGGGGGGGGUGGUGAGGGGCGGCGGGGCGCGCGCGCUCGGGCACAGGCGCAGGCAGGCGCCGCUUACCCAGCUCGGCCGACGUGUCCGUCCGUCCUUCCGCUCCCGGCCGGUGCGCCCCGGCCGCCGGGCUGCCCCUGUCGCUGCCCGCAGCUCGCGGUCACGGGCACGGCCAAAUCCACGCGGAGUCCGAAUGCAUACGGGGCUGCACGUCCAGCCGCCGGCCCCUCGUCCGUGUCCCCGGAGGGGCCCCUGGGGCUCGGGGCCGCGCGCCCUCGGUGCCCCGCCGCGCGCUGUGGCCGGAGGCGCGGGGGGGCGCGCGCGGGGGCCCGGCGGCGUGGGUGUCCCUGCGGCGGGAGCGGCGGAGCCCCGGCUGCCUUCAGGGUUUUCCAGCGCGACUUUCCGGGCUGCUCUGACAUCAGCAAGCCCGGCGCUGCUUCCUUCCCUUCUCGCUGCCCGGUUCGGUCACAGUCCCAUUUCCUCCGGGAGCCUGGCUUUCCAGAUCUAUUUCGGGGCUGGCUCGGCCGGCGGCGGGGCCCCGCUCGGCUGCUCGCCGCUGCCCGGCCCGCGGGGUCUGCUCGGGCCCGCUCGCCCUCCCGGUGGCAGAGCCCCUGCCCCUGCCGCUGCGCCCCGGCCGCCCUCCCGCUCCAGCCCGGCGCGGACGCCGCUGCGCCCGGCGGCUCCGGCGGCUCCGGCGGCUCCGGCAGCUCCGGCUCCCGCGGUGGCGGCGGCGGCGGCGGCGGCGGCGGAGCCCUGAGCGCCGGCCUCCCUAUAUUACCAUGCAGCUCAUUAUCAUAG
rnacentral:lncRNA from 1 species